rnacentral:ncRNA from 1 species
CUGUCCCUAUAUACUAUCUAGAGAAACCACAACCAAGGGAAUGAUCUUGGAAGAAUUAGCGAGGAAAUAAGACCCUAUUGAGAUUGACUCUAGUCCAACAUUCUAAAAUGACUUGAGAGGUGUAGAAUAAGUGGGAUUUGUUUUAGACAGAAGUGAAACAAUGCUAAUUUUAAUGUUAUUUCACUUAUUCCGUGGGGUGGAGAUGGGGCAUUGACCUUGGAUUUGGCCACAAGACAUGUUUCGGCGGCUCGAUCUAGGUGUAAGACAUUUUCAGGUGGGGAUUUUGGCUGGGGCCUCAUAUCUAUUAAAGGAUAAUGCAGGUUUCCUAACAUGAUCUCAACGAGAAAACAAAUAUUGUGUGUAACAAAAGGGUAAAAUCUCAUUUGAUUUUGAACCAACCUCUUGAUCCUUAUAAUUCAUAGAUGUAUAUGAAUUAAUACAUCAAUUACAUGUUUUAAUGAAUCAACAUAGUUAAUUUAGAAUACUAAUUUCUUGAGU